ACACUGCUUCUCUAUACUGGGCUUGUGAUGGUGUUUAAAAGAAUAUCAAAGCUAGGCAAUAAUUGCGUGGCAUCAAAUGUUUAGAACCAAACAACACUGCAGUGUAACGGGUGAAUGAUCCGGAGUGACACCAAGUGUUGAGUUAAUUUGAUAAUAGUUAUCACCUUGUACAAAUAGGAGCCAGUUCCUGGGAUUCGAAGAGGAGGAUUUAAAUAGACCUGGGUUGUGCAGUCUAGGUGGCUGUAUCUACGAUUUCAAUUCCGCGGAAUGAUCGUCGCAGGUGACAACUUUAAGAAUAGGUGACUGAUUAAACAAGAAAACAAACAGCGGGCAAGUGGCGAGUAAACACAGCGAACAGUCGAUCAUAUUCGAUGUGUAUUCUGAGUGAAAUCUCAAGAAUGGACGACGGACUGCCAAACAGCGGAAGAACACGUACGCCUAGAUUAAAAUCAAUUAGGGGCCUGCCAGUGUGUUUGCGUAUCUCCUUCAAAUAACUAAUAUCCACAAAUAUCUAAAUUGUCAAGUGCACAUUUCAUAACCGUGACAAGACGCUGAAUUGUGCAGACGUAUUAGCACCAAUAAAUGAAUUCUUAACGGAAGGUUAAUUACCUGAAUGGGCUGACAGAAGGCGUUAGGGAUUGUUCAUCAAAAGACAACGCGCCAGAUGACGUUUGAGUUCUCUGAAAUUGAUUCCUGAAGAUUUAGCGAACGUUGUCAUUUGUCAGAUCGUAAAAAGAUCCCCUUAACCUUGGGAGAUCCGAGCUUUAAGGCUCUCCCUCUGGACUUUGCCAAAUCUGAUUUCCGAAUGCAGAUGUCAAGAAAAUCACCGAAUUAACUUUUCCUGCAAGACCGUUUUCUGUAAAGAAAAAUACCUUAAUUUACGAACAUGAGACUUUUUUAUAUCCCAUGGAUUACAAAAGACAUAAAAUAAAGUUCUUCAGCAAAAAAUCUAUUAUAGCAGUAAUUAAAUGUCGUGUCUCGGUCUUUUCUUGGAUUCUAAACUUAUCCUGGAAGAACAACGAGAAGGUCUUUUUUUCUUCAGCAAACAUUAUGGAAUUAAAUUUUGUCCUGGAAGCAACCAAUUACACUAUAAAGGCUAAGCAGCUUUCUCACGAACCGCUACAUUAGGUGGAAAUUGGAGGAUUUAGUUUCAAUAAUAGAAAUAGAUUAUUUUAGUCAUGUGCUUAAAAGAUCAUGAAAGAUCGAAGGAGGAAAAGAUAUCUAUCUCAUAGAAAAGGCGAAUUUGACGCGGGUCAGAGCUUUUUGAACGUUGUUAGUUAGUUGUGUCCAAAAACAAAUGAAUGUUUUUGAAUUGUUAAAAAAAUUAAAUACUUAUAAAACAUUUUUCAAGAUAUUUUUUAAAUGACUUGCUAAAGUUUCUGCAGAGUUUUACAAAGAAUCUUUAGUUUGAGACGAUGUACUCUACAUACCAAUGCCUAAUUAUUUUGUCACUGUAGGAAAAUUGCAAUGGAUACAUGUACUUUAUACAUUUGAUGAUAUGCUCAUUCUGGGUUUCGAACAUCCAAGUCGCACAUAUAUUGCUUUGUCUUUGAGUUUGUGCUCUUUUUGUUGUCGAGAUCAGUUUAUUGUGUUUACCUAAAAGACAAACAACAAACU
rnacentral:sRNA from 1 species